rnacentral:lncRNA from 1 species
GCAUUGGGAGACCAUUGUCCUUGAACUCUGCGAUGAGCACUUCUUCGAUGAGGAGGUUAAUCAACACCUCGAGUCUUGUCUGCUGACAGCUUACUAGAGCAAUGCAUUUUUGUAUGCUUGUCAGUUGCCAUUGUGCCUAAAAUACCAAAAUUGUACCACAUUUCUUCUUUUGAUGGUAUAGAUAAGCCAUAUCUAGCUGCACAUUUGUACGAGUGUGUCCAUUUUAUAUGUCAUUUGUUUAUACUGACAGUUUUUGUUCUCUCACAUAUGCAGAUAGAGAACUAUAAUCAACCAUAUAUCAGUGCUUUAUAUGAGUAUAUAGCUAGGAAAGACCUUAAUAUGAUUUUGAGGCCAACUGCAUUAGUCCUCCUUAUGAUGAUGUUAAUAAAAGUAAGCUUGCAUCUGAAUCUGGGUCGUCGUAUUAGCCAUCCAAAACAAUCAUGGACAUUGGAUAUUCAUCAGGAGCGAUCCUGGCCGUCGGAUCAUAAGAAACACUGCUACAAUGAAUAGUGCAUAUGCUUGCUAUACAUGUGGUAUUGCUUUCGCUCUCCCUAACAUGCGGGCCUCGAUCGUGGUGGGUCAUAGCCGUCAGCGACCGUGAAGCAUAGAUAUCCUGGUGUCAUGUGCUUAUCGUGGAGAGCAUGUGCCACCGCCUGUAAAUUUGGGGGUCCGCCGAGGGUACUCUCGUCAUUCCAUAUGAUGGUGCUUGCGUGGUGGUUCAUGUUUGGCUCCUCUAGGUGUAAAGGCGAGGGGCAUGCUUGAUUGGGUGAUAACCGUAGCCUCGAAGCCCUCUCUUCAAACCCUCCUUUCACGUCCCCUUUCUCCUCCGCAUCUCUGGAUCCUACCGCCACCACUGCCUCUCUUCUUGCCCCACCUUCGUGCUUCAGUUGCGGACCGGUGGAUGGGUGUCCGAGCCCGCACCCACCUACUAGUGUGAGUUGAAGCUUCUCAGAGAUCCACCACGAGCCGCCGCUGCAUCUCCUCCUCCUCUAACCCUGAUUCCGGUCCUCCAUCCAGGUCUGUGUGUGCGCGCGCGCGCGUGUGUGGUUGUGUGUGUGUGUGUGUGUGUGUGUGUGUGUGUGCGCGUGUGUGUGCGUGUGUACCUCCAUCAAUGUGCUCCCCAUCCGACCGCUACUCGUCCCAUCAUCUUGCCAGAGCUCCCAGCCGAGAACGCCGAGGUCGCGGCCAGAUCUCCUGCGUGGCAUUAGUGUCGUUCCCGCUGCCCGCCGUGGAAUACGCACCAAGAGAGGAUCUUUUCCUGUAGUUUGAUUCCUCUACUCCUGUAACUUUGAUCUGAUUUCAUGACAAUAAUUGAGAAAGCCUGGUUCCGACGAUUCCUGUGAUGAUUUAGCAGUAACAGAUGCAUACACUAUUUGUUGCUCCAAGUGAACUCUCAUUGAUCUUCCCCUUUUUCUUGCAGGAGGCAGCGUUGUUCCUGUUCUGGCGACAGCCAAAGCAGCGGUUGCAGUUGUGGUACUUCCAGGAGGAUGGAAAGAUGUGGUUUCUUCUUGGAAAGGUGAGUUGUUUACCUGCAGAAAAAUCAACCUUUAGACUUGUUUAACUAAACAUAUUUAACAUUGUUACGUCGAGAUAAAAAUCUUGCAUCAAUUGUUAUUGGUCACUCAAUGUCAAGUUAAUGGUUGAUUUGAAUUGGGAUUGACGAGGUCAUCUCUGCUUCAACUAAUAGACAAACAAUGUCCGAUGAUGCUGCAAGAGAUUAGCCUCUCAACAUGUAUGCGUGGGACCUGGAUAAAACUCUUAUUCUGCUCAAGGCGCUAUGUAUGGGUCGUUUGCUGGGCAUUUUGAUGGCCUCAGUAUUCAUGAAAGAGGCACUGAAGUGGGCAAGCGUUGGGAGACCAUUGUUCUUGAACUCUGCGAUGAGCACUUUUUCUAUGAGGAGGUCAGUCAACACCUCGAAUCUUGUCUGCUGACAGCUUACUAGAGCAAUGCAUUUUUGUAUGCUUGUCAGUCGUCAUUGUGCUUAAAAUACCAAAAUUGUACCACAUUUCUUCUUUUGAUGUUCUGGGUAAGCCAUAUCUAGCUGCACAUUUGUACGAGUGUGUCCAUUUUAUGUCAUUUGUUUAUACUGAGAGUUUUUGUUCUCUCACACAUGCAGAUUGAGAACUAUAAUCAACCAUAUAUCAGUGCUUUAUAUGAGUAUAAUGAUAGGAAAGACCUUAAUAUGAUUUUGAGGUUGACUGCUUUAGUUCUCCUUAUGAUGAUGUUCAUAAAAGGAAGCUCGCAUCUGAAUUUGGGCUGUCGGAUUAGCCGUCCAAAAUGAACCUGGCCGUCGGAUCUUCAUCUGAAGCGAUCCUGGCCAUCGGAUCGUAAGAAACACUGCUAAAAUGAAUUGUGCACAUGGUUGCUACACCUGUGGUAUUGCUUUGGCUCUCCAUGACACGUGGCACCCGGUUGUGGUGGGUCAUACCCAUUAGCGACCGUGGAGCACAUAUCUCCCGGUGUCGUGUGCUUCUCCUGGAGAGCAUGUGCCACCGCCUGUAAAUUUGGGGGUUCGCUGAGGGUACUCUUGUCAUUCCAUAUGACGCUGCUUGUGUGGCGGUUCAUGUCUGGCUCCUCUCGAUGUAAAGGCAAGGGGGAUGCUCGAUUGGGUGAUAACCCUAGCCUCACAGCCCUCGCUUCACUCCCUCCUUACUCGUCCCCUUAUUCCUCCGCAUCUCUGGAUCCGGCCAUUGCUGACCCUCUACUUGCCCCGUCGUCGUUCCUUGGGUGCCGACCGGUGGAUGGGUGUCUGAGCUAGCGCCCACCUGCCGAUGCGAGAUGCAGCUUCCCGGAGAUCCACCGCAAGCCGCCGCCACAUCUCCUCCUCCUCGAACCCUGAUUCGAGUCCUCCAUUAAGGUCUCUCUCUCUCUCUCUCUGUGUGUGUGUGUGUGUGUGUGUGUGUGUGUGCACGCGAUCGUGUGCGUGGCGUGGGUACCUCCAUCGAUGUGCUCCCCAUCCGACUGUUGCUCAUCCCAUCAUCUUGCCAGAGCUCCCAGCCAAGAACGCCGAGGUCGCGGCCAGAUCUCCCGCGUAGCAUCAGGGUUAUUCCCGCUCCCUGCUAUGGAACCCGCAUCAAGAGAGGAUCUUCUCUCCUACAGUUUCCUUCCAAUCCUCCUGUAACUUGGAUCUGAUUUCAUGACAAGAAUUGAGAAAGCCUGGUUCUGGCAAUUCCUGUGAUUUUUAGCAGUAACAGAUGCAUACACUAUUUGUUGCUCCAAGUGAACUCUCAUCGAUCUUCCCUUUUACCUUGCAGGAGGUGGCAUUGUUGGUACUCUUGCCACGGCCAAAGCAGCGGUUGCAGCUAUGGUACUUCCAGGAGGAUGGAAAUAUGUGGUUUCUUCUUGGAAAGGUGAGUUGUUUACCUACAGAAAAAUCAACCUUUAGAGUUGUUUAACUGAACAUAUUUCACAUUGUUACGCCGAGAUAAAAAUCUUGCAUCAAUUGUUAUUGGUCACUCGAUGUCAAGUUAAUGGUUGAUUUGAAUUGGGGUUGACGAGGUCAUGUGUGCUUCAGCAAAUAUCCAAACAUUGUCCGAUGAUGCCACAACAGAUCAGCCUCUCAAGAUGUAUGUGUGGGAUCUAGAUGAAAUGCUUAUUCUGCGCAAGGCGCUGCAGAUGGGUUGUUUGCUGGGAAUUUUGAAGGCCUCAAGAUUCAUGAAAGAGGCACUGAAGUAAGCAAGCAUUGGGAUACCAUUGUUCUUGAACUCUGCGAUGAGCCCUUCUUGUAUGAGGAGGUCAGACAACACCUCGAAUCUUGUCUGCUGACAGCUUACUAGAGAAAUGCAUUUUUGUAUGCUUGUCAGUUGUCAUUGUGCCUAAAAUACCAAAACUGUACCACUUUUCUUCUUUUGAUGUUAUGGAUAAGCCAUAUCUAGCUGCACAUUUGGACGAGUAUGUCCAUUUUAUAUGUCAUUUGUUUAUACUGACAGUUUUGUUCU